rnacentral:rRNA from 1 species
UACGUAGGUGGCAAGCGUUAUCCGGAUUUAUUGGGCGUAAAGAGAACGCAGGCGGUCUUUUAAGUCUGAUGUGAAAGCCUUCGGCUUAACCGGAGUAGUGCAUUGGAAACUGGGAGACUUGAGUGCAGAAGAGGAGAGUGGAACUCCAUGUGUAGCGGUGAAAUGCGUAGAUAUAUGGAAGAACACCAGUGGCGAAAGCGGCUCUCUGGUCUGUAACUGACGCUGAGGUUCGAAGGCGUGGGUAGCAAACAGG